rnacentral:lncRNA from 8 species
UCAAAUAGCUAAAUGAUACUUGGUAUGACCAUCUUACAACAAUUCCAUAUGUUAGCUAAGUUAAACACAAAGAUUAGCCACUUAAACCUGCAAUAUGUACAUUUUUGGAUGACCUGACAAAAUUCACAUAGAAUUGUGAGUUAUAGACCAGUCAUUCUGAUUGAAAGCAAGUCUAAGUAGGGGUAGAUCUGUUCUAUGUGCACUUUUCCUUUGCCUCCCAUGCUUACCUUUUCUUUUUGCUUCUUUUACUUUCGGUUUCGUACACCAGCUUCAAACAACUGAUACAAUAUUUUUGGUAAUGGAAAAUAUAUUUUACAGCGGUUUAGGUGGUACAAUGAUUCUCCACACUAUACUUGCUUUUUUGUCACUUAAACUGAAAUUAGGCAAACUUUUAGAAUUUUAGUAGCCAGGAUAUGGCAGAGCAAUUUCUGCAUAGUGCAUCUUUAAGGAUUUUAAGGGAUGAUUCUGUUCUGAUGAUAUCCUUGGAAAUUAUACCUUAUUAUCGGGAAAAUGAAAUUAUCUUAACUGGUCAACCGUUGUACAGUUAAGUAACACAAGCCCGGACAAGACAAGAUGCAGACUACUUUUUGUCAAGGGAAUUUUCACUGUGUAUGCACUUUUAUUUGGCUCUGGUAUAACACUUCAUGUGACAGAUCGUGUAAAAAAACCCAAAGUGACGGUCUACUCAGUGUCCAAACCUGAGCCGAACAGGAAAACCACCCUGCUAUGUCUGGCUAGAGACAUGUUUCCAGACUUGGUCAAGAUUUCAUGGAAGGUGAUGGAUAAAAACGGCCGAACAAUGGAGGUGCCCAAAGCAGAGAUGGAAGAGCUGGAGCAGAGAGAGGAAGGGCGGACGACAAGUAUGAUCAUCAUUGAUAAAGAGAAGACGUACAGGAACAAAUACAUAUGUUCUGUGGAGCAUAAAUUGGGCACUCAAGAUGUUGACAUACCAAAAGAGGAACCAACUGAAGCUUCUCCAACCACCAUGGCUUCACCAACCACUCUGCAGGUUACCAACGGUAAAUAUUUAAGUGUAUUUCAUGCAGUUUUGGGGUCUAUUCAAAUAAUUAAAAGUUGGAAAAAAUAUAUAAAUGAACAGAUUUAGAUAUGGUGAAGUUGCAUUAUUCAGGAGUGUAAUAUGGUUAGAUGAGAAGUUGUUGAAAAGUGUGAUAAAAGUGAUUUAAUGUGAUAUUUAUGGUAAACUUGAGGUGUGGGGCAAGAAUGAUGCUUUGCAUGGCCAAAUCCAAAGGUAAGGGAAGAAUGUUUUGUAAAGAGAACAUUUUAAAUCUCGUGACCUGCGGAGAGAUGGCACUGUCUAAUGAAUCUAAAAACGUUGAAAUAUCAAGGAUUUGUGAGACCGCAUUCACGAUAAACGCUGAAUAUAUGUCGGCUUAAUUGUAAAUAGCCCGACAAAGUGCAAUCAGAACGAUUCAAUCCUUUGGCGGGUUCAAAUCGUGUUUGUCACAUGCGCCGAAUACAAUAGGUGUAGACUUUACAGUGAAAUUCUUACUGACAAGCCCUUAACAAACAAUGCAGUUUUAAGAAAAAAUACCUAAAAAGAUAAGAAAUAAAAGUAACAAAUAAGGGGGUACCGGGACCGAGUCAAUGUGCGGGGGCACCGGUUGGUUGAGGUAAUUGAGGUAAUAGGCAUAGCGGCUUUUAAAGGCAAUGUUCUGGUGAUCGCAGAGAUCCCAUCCAUGGUAAACGUUGCAUAUGUUCGGCUUGUUCGGAAAUGGCUUUAAAAACCGCCUUGCUUAUAACCCAUGAUCGGAUUGAACCUUGUCCUUAAAAAAAUGUACGAUCAAUAUUGUAUUGACAUUUUUUUAUACAGAAACAACAAAUACAAAUAGGACCCAGCAAACUCAUGAAAAAGAGAAGAGAAAAAAAGAAACAAGAUAACAGAAAACUGGACUAUAUUAUAAUAAAAUCACUGGCUAAUUUCCUGGCCUUACUCUUUUCUUUUCCCCAGAUUCAUUAAAGUCCAUAUGCAGUCUGAACUUGGCCUCUCUGGUUUACACAGUGAUGAUAGUGAAGAGCAUGGUGUACUGCUAUGGGCUCUCUUUCCUGCUGCACUACAGGAACAUGGGUUGUAGACCCAAAACCUGUAGACAAAUUCAUUGAAAGGAUAUCCCUAUAUAUUGUGUUUCCCUCCUUAAAAUGAAUAUCACAUAAUAUUUAGUUUUGAUGAUUGUGGGAGCCACCCACUACAGACACUUGAAUACAGUUCAGUUAAGGAGAGCAAAUCUUGAUGGUAGAAAUAUGAUUGAAAUAUUGACAGUUUUAUUAAAGUUGCCUUGUUGUAUGUCAUAGCGUCAAAUUACUUUUUUACAAAAUCUGUAUUUGAUUUUUACAAAAAUAUUUACCUAAUUAUCAUAUGUAUUUCUUUAAAUAUGUUGUUAUUAAAUAUAUGGCCCUUGAUUUCUAAACAUGUGUCAUUAUACAAAAUCAUUUUUAGUAACUUGUCAAGUGUGUAAUAAAGUGUAUUUUUUCUCAAGUAAUUAGAGUUAGUUUUCUGACAGUAUUUCAUAUCUUCAUUAAAUUUUCUCAUUCAUUUACCAUGAAUAAUAGAAAAUCUAGCUUUUUUUUGCUUUAAAAAACUAAAUGAUAAGUGCUUAUUGAGCCAGAAAAUUGAUCUAUGAGUGAAAUCAGUCAUUUGUGAUUUUUUACAAUGAUACAAUGCUGUUGUUGUUUAAUUUUUUACGUUGAUACAUAAAGCUUGUAUGAAAAGUGACAUUUCCUUGUGUAACACAGCCUUGUAGUGAGCAAAGUUUCUCAAAAUAACCAUAUCCUUUCAGAUGGGGAUGGUUUUAAUUAUUUCUGCCUUCAUGAAAGAAAAGUUAAAAAAACAUGGUUCUGCAAUGUAUUGUAUAGCCUACAUUUUGUACAGUUCCGUGCUAUUUUGAAUGAGGAAACUGUCACCAUAAUAAAAAAUUAAUGUUUCUUAAAACCCCCAAAACAUUGUAUUUCUUAUAAGAUCAUCUAUUCUUAUUUUAGAACAUUUUAAAUUAUUGAAUCACAUCAGAAGCGGAACAAUAAGAUCAUAAGAUCCCUUAUUCUCUGUUUUCAACCUGUUUGCUUAAAUGUGCAUGCUCUGACGCAGGUGUAGAGACUAUAGAC